UGCUGGGGUUGUACCAAACCUGGUCAUAUUUUUGUGUGAACUUUGUAGCAGUCUGCGAUUGUAGACUGUGCUCUGUAAUUACACCAAGAAGAUUUUUAACAACUGAAUUCAAAUCAAUAUUUCCUUGCUGUCACAUAACUCUUUUGUAGGAGAAUCUUGUAAAAGAGCACUCUGGCAGUGUGAUUCCUGACAGUGAAAAGAAACACAAGACAUGUGUUAUAAAGACUCCUCCAAUGGAUAAAAUGCAGAGUGGAAGAAGCACAAACCUGCCUGCAGGGCAGAGCAGCAGGAAAAAGCAGAAAGUGCUUGUGCAGCUGGACACUGAGUCAGACAGCUCUGAGCACACUGACCUCCUGAGCCCAGCUCCAUGCAGUGUGAAAUCUCCAGGCUCUGCUCUGAAACUCAAAACCAUGAGGAGGAUGCGCGAGGCGGGCUGGACUGUGCUCUCCAAAAUGGACAGGAAAAGGAAAAUUAAAGAUGCUGUAAAGAUGCUGUAAAUAUGCUCUUUGCUUAAAAUCCAGAAAUGCCCAGUGCCCUGGCAUUGCUUGCAGGGCUGUUUUUCUCUCAGAGUUGGUGCUUUGUUGCAUUUUUCUGUCAUACUCAGUGUGUUUAAUACUGUGUUCAUUCCUUUACACAUAUAAACUUUAUAGAUCUAUAACUGCAACCCCUGCAGAGCAUCUUCCACCUUUCCUCCCUUGUGCUUCAAAAUGUUGGGACACAAAUUAGCCAAUUUUAAAUUUGGAAAUAAAUAGAACUACACAGAAAGUUGUUUCAAAGCUGCUUCUGGCUUAGAAAUUAGAAAUUCUGGUUUCAAAGAACUUCUGUUCUUUUACA